rnacentral:rRNA from 1 species
GUAGGGAAUAUUGGUCAAUGGGCGAGAGCCUGAACCAGCCAAGUCGCGUGAAGGAAGAAGGAUCUAUGGUUCGUAAACUUCUUUUGCAGGGGAAUAAAGUGCAGGACGUGUCCUGUUUUGUAUGUACCCUGAGAAUAAGGAUCGGCUAACUCCGUGCCAGCAGCCGCGGUAAUACGGAGGAUCCGAGCGUUAUCCGGAUUUAUUGGGUUUAAAGGGUGCGUAGGUGGUUUGAUAAGUCAGCGGUGAAAGUUUGCAGCUUAACUGUAAAAAUGCCGUUGAAACUGUCGGACUUGAGUGUAAAUGAGGUAGGCGGAAUGCGUGGUGUAGCGGUGAAAUGCAUAGAUAUCACGCAGAACUCCGAUUGCGAAGGCAGCUUACUAAGCUACAACUGACACUGAAGCACGAAAGCGUGGGGAUCAAACAGGAUUAGAAACCCGAGUAGUCC